UAGUACGGCGAGUGACCGGGAAAGCUCAAAUUUAAAAUCUGGCUGUCUUCGAUAGUCCGAGUUGUAAUCUAUAGAAGUGUUUUCCGUGCUGAACUGUGUCUAAGUCCCUUGGAACAGGGUAUCAAAGAGGGUGACAAUCCCGUACUUGACACAAUCAUCAGUGCUCUGUGAUACAUUCUCUACGAGUCGAGUUGUUUGGGAAUGCAGCUCAAAAUGGGUGGUAAAUUCCAUCUAAAGCUAAAUAUUGGCGAGAGACCGAUAGCGAACAAGUACCGUGAGGGAAAGAUGAAAAGCACUUUGGAAAGAGAGUUAAACAGUACGUGAAAUUGUUGAAAGGGAAACGAUUGAAGUCAGUCGUGUUCAUUGGAUUCAGCUAGUUCUUCUAGUCUACUUCCUUUGAACGGGUCAACAUCAGUUUUGUCCGGUGGAUAAAGGCAGUAGGAAUGUGGCUUCUUCGGAAGUGUUAUAGCCUAUUGUCACAUACACUGGGGGAGACUGAGGACUGCAGCUCGCCUUUUGGCCGGGGUCGCCCACGUCGAGCUUAGGAUGUUGACAUAAUGGCUUUAAACGACCCGUCUU
rnacentral:rRNA from 1 species